UACGAAGGGGGCUAGCGUUGCUCGGAAUCACUGGGCGUAAAGCGCACGUAGGCGGGUCGUUAAGUCAGGGGUGAAAUCCUGGAGCUCAACUCCAGAACUGCCCUUGAUACUGGCGAUCUCGAGUUCGGGAGAGGUGAGUGGAACUGCGAGUGUAGAGGUGAAAUUCGUAGAUAUUCGCAAGAACACCAGUGGCGAAGGCGGCUCACUGGCCCGAUACUGACGCUGAGGUGCGAAAGCGUGGGAGCAAACAGGG
rnacentral:rRNA from 1 species